UACGAAGGGGGCUAGCGUUGCUCGGAAUUACUGGGCGUAAAGCGCACGUAGGCGGUUUGUUAAGUCGGGGGUGAAAUCCCGGAGCUCAACUCCGGAACUGCCUUCGAUACUGACGAUCUUGAGUCCGGGAGAGGUGAGUGGAACUGCGAGUGUAGAGGUGAAAUUCGUAGAUAUUCGCAAGAACACCAGUGGCGAAGGCGGCUCACUGGCCCGGUACUGACGCUGAGGUGCGAAAGCGUGGGGAGCAAACAGG
rnacentral:rRNA from 1 species